rnacentral:rRNA from 1 species
UUCGGUUCUAGCGGCGGACGGGUUAGUAACGCGUGGGAACGUACCCUUUUCUACGGAAUAGCCUCGGGAAACUGAGAGUAAUACCGUAUACGCCCUUAGGGGGAAAGAUUUAUCGGAGAAGGAUCGGCCCGCGUUAGAUUAGAUAGUUGGUGGGGUAAUGGCCUACCAAGUCUACGAUCUAUAGCUGGUUUGAGAGGAUGAUCAGCAACACUGGGACUGAGACACGGCCCAGACUCCUACGGGAGGCAGCAGUGGGGAAUCUUAGACAAUGGGCGCAAGCCUGAUCUAGCCAUGCCGCGUGAGUGAUGAAGGCCUUAGGGUCGUAAAGCUCUUUCGCCUGUGAAGAUAAUGACUGUAGCAGGUAAAGAAACCCCGGCUAACUCCGUGCCAGCAGCCGCGGUAAUACGGAGGGGGUUAGCGUUGUUCGGAAUUACUGGGCGUAAAGCGCGCGUAGGCGGACAUUUAAGUCAGAGGUGAAAUCCCAGGGCUCAACCCUGGAACUGCCUUUGAUACUGGGUGUCUUGAGUUCGAGAGAGGUGAGUGGAAUUCCGAGUGUAGAGGUGAAAUUCGUAGAUAUUCGGAGGAACACCAGUGGCGAAGGCGGCUCACUGGCUCGAUACUGACGCUGAGGUGCGAAAGUGUGGGGAGCAAACAGGAUUAGAUACCCUGGUAGUCCACACCGUACACGAUGAAUGCCAGUCGUCGGGCAGUAUA